CAGCUUAGGCUCGUUGUGUCGACUGAUGCUGCAUCUUGAACUUGCUGCUGACUCCCCGCUUGGACUGGCAGUCGUGCUUCGCGGACAUGCUCUUCACCGAAUUCGAGCAAAAUUCACUGUCAGGUAGUAUCGCAGGUCAACCUGCUGGCGGCCAAUCAAAGCGCAGGAUUUUUACGUCAUUGGUAGCCAAUCAGGGGACGAGCACCAACAGGCAAAAGAAGAGAGAGGGUAACUGGGCGCCACCACUUGAACGCCUGAAAUUCGCAUUGGCUGAUGGAGUUUCGCAUAAAAAUGCACUUUCCCUUUUUUCUUUAGUCUGCAAACGCCGUAAAUUCGAAUUUUUGAACUGUAUGAGAUCAUUUGAUAACUCCACAUGACAUCACCUGCAUAAUUUUAUUGUCUCGCAUAAAAAACACGCAGGCUAAAACAGGAAUGGCUUCUUUUGUUUUCCAAUUUUAUUAUUCCGCCUCCUAUUACUGAUUUAAAAAAGAUAGCCAAAAUAUCCAUCAUUAAAUUUAAUGGGUUGGGUUUAAAUACUAAAGCACGAUUUAUCUAACUUUCAUUUAAGGAAUUAAAAUUUUAAUUUGUAUAGUUCAUUAUCAAAAAGAUUUUCAAGAAUUUGUUCACUUUCCGAAAGGGCUGAAUUUACAAUUUGAAUGGAAGCUGCUGACGAACUGUCAACGCUCUUGGUCGACUGCUGUUUGCUUAUUAGCGCCGUUUCAUCGUGCAAUUUCAUUCUGAAAGUGGAAACACAUGCAAUUACCUCAUUUCACGAGAAUAAUACCAGUAAAGUACGCACUUGUGCAUACGCAAGGCGGUCGACUGGGCAAACGCCUUGCCGCAAACAUCGCAACUGUACGGUCUGACCCCUGAGUGGAUGCGCUCAUGCCUGAUUAUAUGAGAAACGUGGGAAAAGGUUUUGCCGCAGGUCCCGCAAAUGUAUGGCUUGUCAUUGGAAUGAAUUCUGCGGGGAAGGAGAGAAAUAAAUUGAAACAAACGAUGGAAAGUUUUGCGAGUUUUCCUACCUGGUGUGAACGGUUAAGUCGCUUUUUUUAAAGAACGCCUUUCCACAUUGUGCGCAUUUGUGAGGCUUUUCUCCUAUGUGGUCACGACGAACAUGUUC